rnacentral:ribozyme from 1 species
ACAUGAAGCACUUCCAGGUCUAUAAGCGGCUGAACAUGGUGAUCAUCAUCCUGGGGGCCAUCAUUGGGCUGCUGUCACCAGCCUAUGGGACUUUGAGUGCUAGCGCAGACGGGGACGAGGACCUCCACUUGUACCAGGCGCCAUGGUGGAUUGGCUGGACUGGGACCCUUGCGGCUGCGUUGCUGAUCUGCCACUUGUUCAAUGUCAUUCCCCUGCCCCACACGACGCCCGUGC